rnacentral:rRNA from 1 species
CUGCAGCCCGAGUGGUGAUCGAUUUUAUUGAGCCUAAAGCGUCCGUAGCCGGACUAGUAAACCCUUGGGUAAAUUGGGCAGCUUAACUGUCCAAAUUCCGAGGGGACUGCUAGUCUUGGGACCGGGAGAGGUCAGAGGUACUCCAGGGGUAGGGGCUAAAUCCGAUAUGCUUUCGUGGCAUUCGGUUAGCAUUCCUGUAAUCCUUGGGGGACCACCAGUGGCGAAGGCGUCUGACUAGAACGGAUCCGACGGUAAGGGACGAAACCCUGGGGCGCGAACCGGAUUAGAUACCCGAGUAGUCC